rnacentral:rRNA from 1 species
GUGGGGAAUAUUGGACAAUGGGCGCAAGCCUGAUCCAGCCAUGCCGCGUGAGUGAUGAAGGCCCUAGGGUUGUAAAGCUCUUUCACCGGAGAAGAUAAUGACGGUAUCCGGAGAAGAAGCCCCGGCUAACUUCGUGCAAGCAGCCGCGGUAAUACGAAGGGGGCUAGCGUCGUUUGGAAUUACUGGGCGUAAAGCGCACGUAGGCGGACAUUUAAGUCAGGGGUGAAAUCCCGGGGCUCAACCCCGGAACUGCCUUUGAUACUGGGUGUCUGGAGUAUGGAAGAGGUAAGUGGAAAUCCGAGUGUAGAGGGGAAAUUCGUAGAUAUUCGGAGGAAAACCAGUUGCGAAGGCGGCUUACUGGUCCAUUACUGACGCUGAGGUGCGAAAGCGUGGGGAGCAAACAGGAUUAGAUACCCUUGUAGUCC